rnacentral:lncRNA from 1 species
CCCCGAGAUACCUCUCCGUUCACACGGAGUGACAAAUCCCAGUCUUGAUUCAUACUAACUCAACUAACACCUUCGGAGAUACCUGUAGAGCAUCUUUAUAGUCACCCAGUUACGUUGCGAUGUUUGAUACACACAAAGCAUUCCUCCGGUGUCAGUGAGUUAUAUGAUCUCAUGGUCAUAGGAAUAAAUACUUGACAGCAGAAAACAGUAGCAACAAAAUGACACGAUCAA